rnacentral:lncRNA from 1 species
GGGACUGAUUGUCUUCAAGCUGAGCACACACUGAGCACUGGGCCUGCCUUCUUCCUAACACAGGUUUUUGUAAGCUCCAGACAUUGGAUAAAGCAUUUUGAGGGAUAGGUGAAAACGAAAUCCUGCCCUUUACUCUUGAGAACUCACUCUGCUGUGGGAGGAGAGACAGGCAGGUUACAGGGAGAGCACCCUGUCUGUGAAGAAGCAGGUUCUCAUCUGAUACCAAAUCUGCUGGCACCUUGAUCUUGGACUUCCCAGACUCCAGGACUGCACUCUCUCCUGCCCACGGAUCUUGCUUGGGAAAGGAAUGGGGCAAGUGGAAAUGGCCAUUUCUUAGAUGAACACAUCAGGGACUUGCUCCAGUCUGAAGUCUAUACAGAGCUAGGCUUUGAAUCCAGUCACGUAACUGUGUGUGUUCAGAGCUUGACGGAUUACCACCAGGCUGGGCCAACAGGGUCGUUUUCAAGUCAGCUAGCCCUAAAAGGGCAAAAAAUUGUUGCAAUGCUCCCAGAUGUAACUCUGACCUGGUAUGGUUCAGGGACGAGGCCACUCACACACACUUGGGCAACUGCUCUUCUCGUGACCAGCCUCUUUCUGUGGGAAUCACUCCAUGGAGCCACCGUCUCUCCCAAGCUACAAUGUUCUACAAUGGUGCAAGUGGGGGAAAAAUUUCAACAAAAUUUUGGAUAUCAGCUGCUUUAUGAAGGCAUGAUUUAUAAUGAUUUAUUAUAAAAUGAUGGUGUUUUAA